UCUUCAUUAGUUUCUCGUGUAGUCUCUACAUUCAAAAAAGAAUGAAGGUUCUAAAUGUGAUUGUUAUAAUCAUAGUGGUACCGGUGCUUUUUCUUACAAUCAUAUCGGCACAUGAGGCAGGACAAUUUCUCAUGGACAGAACCAAAACCAAAACCAAAACAUGAUGAACAAUUGCAAGGACAAGUUGAUUGGGGCAAUACAGCAAGGUCAAAACCCUUCAUAUGUGCUCAAUCCGAGUUCAAUGAUGAGACAAAAGGCCUUAUUUGGGCAUAGACAUCACACUAUUGAUGUCCCUCCUUUGCUACGCCGAUUGCUAGGCAUGGGUGUUGUCACUCCAUCUGGGCCUAAUUCACGCACCCAUAUUCCUCCUAAAUCAAGUCACAAUACUGCUCCUCCUUUUCUAGGGUCCAUGGAGAAGAGUCCUCCGUCUUCCUCUAUGCCCAAGGGGAGUACCUCCACCCCUUAGGUUAAAGCAAAUAACUCAAAUUAAAAGUGGAGGGUUUGAAAAGCUUAGCUUUAUUGUUUUUUUGGCCGUGUUGGUUGCACAUAGUGUGUAUAUCACACUUUUCUUUAUAACUAAAACUAUGACUUGAAUUCACAUUUUCAAAUUGAAAAUUGUGGUUUCAAAUCAUGAUUUUAGUUAUAAAAUACGGUGUGUAUCUACACACUAUGUUUAUGUGCAAUAAAUUUUUUCUUUGUUUAUUGAAUUUUUAAUGUAACUAUUCCUUUAGAUGUAUCAUGUAUGUAACUCCCAUCUUCUACUACAUUAUUAAUCAUUUUUAAUGUGGUUA